AUACGGAGGAUGCGAGCGUUAUCCGGAUUUAUUGGGUUUAAAGGGAGCGUAGGCGGGAGCUUAAGUCAGCGGUUAAAUGGUGCGGCUCAACCGUGCCCUGCCGUUGAAACUGGGUUUCUUGAGAGUGCAAGAGGCGGAUGGAAUUCAUGGUGUAGUGGUGAAAUGCUUAGAUAUCAUGAAGAACUCCGAUUGCGAAGGCAGUCCGCUGGGGCACGUCUGACGCUGAUGCUCGAAGGUGCGGGAAUCAAACAGGAUUAGAUACCCUGGUAGUCCGCACGGUAAACGAUGAUUACCCGCUGUCGGCGGUAGACAGUCGGCGGCCAAGCGAAAGCGAUAAGUAAUCCACCUGGGGAGUACGCCGGCAACGGUGAAACUCAAAGGAAUUGACGGGG
rnacentral:rRNA from 1 species